ACGUUUUCUGGCAUCUUGCAAAUGAGAUAAACUAAUGGAUGCUGUAACAACUUUCAGUUAUGUUUAACAAGUCUUUCUUGGAAAGAAGAAUAGCUGCUGACUGAUUCAGUAGCAAUAAAUGAGCCUGUACACACUCAGAAUUUAAUUGCUUCUAGAAUUUAAGGGUCUCUAAAGUGUUACAUGUUAUUCUGUGUACAAGAGGUAGAGUGUGCUAGCAUUCAAAACCACACUUUUACUCAAAAUCACAAGCCGUACAUAGAGCCUGUUGGAGAAGUUACAAAAAGGUCCAUUUGCAAUUGGUUGUAAAACAAAUUCCCAGCUAGAAAGGAGGCAUCUUUGCCAGAAACCACCAUGGGCCCCAGAAGUGUGUGGCAUGAAUGAAAGGCAGUAUUUAUGAAUGAUUCUUAUACCCAGUCAUCUGUCACUGACAGAAGCUGGACCUGUGGAGAAAUUAAAACCUUCAAUCCUGCUCAAGCCUCAAACUCAAAUCCUACUCAAAACCUUGGAAUUUGGAGAUAUGUCCAAAAACCCCCCUUUAACUCCAUCACACUAUUAUUUGAAUGUAAAAAUGUUGUAUAGAAUAAAGAUGAACAUAGCAGUUAAUAGUUUUACACAAUAGUCAGGUAAACAUCUUUUCAGUAUAGCACAACUGUGAAAUUGCUGCACAAUAUGACAAAAAAAUCAGCAUUAUGGCAGUAUAAGGAUAUUACUUAAAUACCUUAAAAACAAUUUUAAGUGGGUUUUUGAGUAUUAAGCAGUUUGUAGCUGCUGAUUUGAGUUUUUAUGCUGUCAUUUGGUACUAUUUGCUCUCAUCUGGUACUUUUAAUGUGAAUUAAAAGCUGCUAUUGAAAUACAAAUUAUUACAUAUUAGUCCUGAUUGAUACAGCAUUUUCACAAAAAUAUCACAGACCAUACAAGUUCUCAUGCAUCCAAGAGAAUAACUGCAACAGUUGGAUACAAAUAAACAUUGUCGGAAUUGUGAAGAUGGAAAAUGUACGUAGGCAAUAUUAUUAAUUUAUUAAUGUGCAAUUUUGAUGUCAUUCAGUGCCAAAAUGUAUGUUUUUCUAAAUAGCACUAAAAUGAGGCAAAUAAAGUAGUUUUCAAAUGGCAACUUACUUGUCACAUUACAGUGUAAACCGAUUUCAACAUUUGGGUUUGUUUUGUGUGAAAACUGUUGCACUAUUUUUGGCUGUAUUUUCCAGCAGUCCACUGCAUGCCAUUUGUGUAAGGACUCUUUCUUUAACCCUUGUGAACUGUCUCACCCAUUAUAACCCUGGUGUUGGAAUCUAGGUUUUUGGCAAAGUAUUUUGUUACCUCAGUCUUGUAUCGAGUUGCUGUAUUUUUCAGUUUGUUACAUUGAUAAUGAUUGUUUCACUAAUUAAAUAAUGUAAAAAAAAAGAAGAAAAAGUUUGUUUACUUCAGCAACAAAUUGCAUUUGGUUGUAAGCUGAAAAAUGUGCAGACUGUAUAUGCUGUUAACAAUAAAAUGUUCUGAAAAAGACUAGUAAAGGUAUAGAAGGAACAUGUGGGCUUAAAGGCAGCAAGCAUGUUUUAUUUGUGAAUCAAUGGUAAUAGAGUUGAAGAGACUUUAUAGUGCACAAUGUGUAGCCAUUUAAUAGUAUAAAUACAACAGAAUCCAAAUUUGUAACAGAAAAUUGAAAAAACUUCCAAAUUUGCCUUUUUUUUAAAAGUGGGAUUUGUAAAGUCCAAAGAAGUGGAGACAAACCUAUCCUGCUCUUUUCCUAAGAAAUGUAUUUUUGUUUGAUGAAACAUUGGAGCGGGUUGCUCCAUCCCUGGCAGUGUUCAGGGCCUGGUUGGACGCGGCUCGGAGCAACCUGCCCUAGUGGAAGGUGUUCCUGCCCAUUGGCAGGGGGUUGGAACUGGUUGGGCUUUCAGGUCCCUUCAACCCAAACCAUGCUGUAAUUCCCCAUUCAAGGCAAAUAAGAUCCAUGUUAUGACUGGCAAAGAAGGUGCUUUAAUUUUUCUGCAGAAACAUAAUUUCAUGAGCAGUUGCUUGAGAGACAAAUUGUAACCUACUAUGAAGGCAAGACCAAAAUCAGCUCAUACAAAAUAGGUACUUUUAGAGCUGAAAAAGAAAGCACAUAUCCCCUUCCUGAAAUGGACUCCUUUUCCUGUUAUCCUCCAGAAACAGGAAGAGUGGUUUGAGGUUUUUUUUUAAUUGCUUUGUAGUGCUGGAAAUCACUUGGAUCUGUACAGUUUUUUUUCCAGGGUCAUGUCCAGUGUUUCACUGUAAAUAUUUUAUAAGGGAAGCAUCAGUUAAGUGUCUCUUAGAUCUACCAAAUGGUUCUUUGCACUGAUAGCAUCAGUUUAAAUGCUGAAAUUCUUUGGAAUUGCUUUCCUCCCCAUAGACAACAGGAUAGAAAAUAAACAAAGUGAGGCAUUAGGAAGGAAAGGCAACAAUCGCUAUAUGCCAGAUUGCCUCUGUAACAAUAAUAAUGGCAGAUUACAGGGGAAAAAAAGGACUGCUUUCUGCAUUACAGUAUUUCACUAUAAGGGAACAUGUUUUUGUGAUAAAACACCCAAAGAUGAGUACUGAAGAGCUCAUUAAAUGCUCCUGAUGUCCAAGUCUUUUAUUUGUAACCUGGGGAAGAAAAACCAAAAUGAAAUCUUUAAGAAGUUUGUUCCUACUUUAGAUGCCAGGCUGUCCUGGGUAUGUGAGUGAGGGCACUGGUAAAUUGCAUUGAUUUUUGUUCUGAAAUCAGUGAUGGUGGUUGUAUUUCCAUAGCUGUGAUCUACUACUGUGAGCAUUUAUUUACCAAAUCCUGAAAUUCUCUUUGCUUAGGGGGAACAUAAAGAAAAAAAGAAGUCAAAGUUCACAUGUCUCAGCAGACUUCAGAUGUGAAAGUAACUCAGAUAAGCAUGUUAGGAAGGAUGAAAACACCCAUUUUGCGUCACAGUUCUGCAUAAGAAAAUGCAGAUAGUAAUGAAUUGGAGGAAGUAUCCUUUUUAUUUCUGGCCUUUGCCUGUAGCCGUGCUCUUACUGCCAGAAAUCAGCUUUUCAGAUUUAAGGAAGAGUAGAUUAUGUUCCAAAUGAUUACUUGCUUCUGAUGGUCCCUGCUUUGGGUUUGCAAGCAUGUUGUAAGCAAGUAAAAAGUAAGCAAGGUCAGAAAGCAAAUCCAUUUGUUGUAGUGUACGUGUAGAGAGAAGUCUGUCCAAUUCUGCAGGAUAGAAAAAGUAAGUAAGCAGCUAGAUAACUUAUUUUACAUCUGAUUUAUUAAUUGAUAGCACUAAAUAAAAUGACUUUUUGAACACACAGGAACACUGUAGAACCCUGGAAACAUUGGAAGGUGGUUGUAGCAAAAUGGUUACCGUUGCUUGCAAUUAUGCAAAACUGGUUAUGUGAACCUGUUUGACACAAACACAAUGAAUGUAUGCAUUGUCUUUUAGAAGGUAACGUCAUGGGGCAAAAGCAAGGAAAUGCAAAGCAAGGUGACGGGCAGCCAGCUGGUGCAGGAAUGAGUAGGUGAAGAUUAAAGAAAAAAAAAAAACAAACAAAAAAACCCUUUACUUUCUUUUCAAUUACAAGAUGUUCUUUGCUGCUUUCAGGUACAGCAUACUCGGAAGUCCAACUAGUCCUGCCUGCAUUGUUUAAUAGCACAAUUGUUUUAAUUCUUUUGACAGUUGGGAGUGGGGAGGAAAUAGUUUCUAUUUCGCUUAUCAGCCUCAAAGAGGGUUGCUGAGGAGACUUCGAUCUUCAGAUCAUAAGGGUGAAUGCAGGUGGCAGAGUAAAAGCGUGUGUUUGCACAGCUACUGAGUUACAGAAGUUACUUAGCCAUUACAAACACCAUUUUUGCAGCCAUGUUUUUGGAUCACUCUGUGAAGCCCAGCACCUAGUAUGUUGUAUAUGAGAGUUAAUAUAACCUAUUGUUUUGCAUAAAUUGUUUUCUACAGAAGCAUUGCAUGUGCUGAACCCCUCCACAACCAGAGAGGGCUUCCUAGGUCUUACAGCAGCACAAAUAAGGAAGUUUGCAUGCCAGUUCAGAUGUAACUAGUUUAUAAAGAGCUAAAAAGUUUUAUUCCCCUGUGUGUAUUUUCAGAAAGAGAGAGGUAAUGUGGGUCACACACAGACAGGGAGCAGAAUUCACACUUGGGCUUACCCCACACUGCUAUCCUUGGAGUGCACUAUGAGGAGCACAGGGCUCUAUCAGACCUAAAGAGAUCACCAAGUGUUAAUUAACAAUUAAUAUAGCCACCAAGAAAAGCUCUGCCAGGAAAGAGGGACACAUCAGUACGAAGUCCAACUGAUAGUGGCCUGCUUCCUUCUGUUGGUGAUUUGCAUGAAGUCACAACGAAUCAGACUGAGAGACGCCUCUUGCUGACCCCCACUCUUCCUUCAGCUUAAUAAUCUCCUGACAUCCUGAUAGGGACCAUGAGAGGAGACCUAGAAUGGAGAUUUCACUGAAGAAACUGCACGUCAAAGGCUGACAAAAGUACUAAUAGAAUUGUAGAGGAAGCAGAUGCUGGGGAAUGAGCAAAGUUCCAAGGUCUCUCAUUUCAGUGGAAGCAUAAAGCAGAAUUGGACCAGUGGAAAGCAUGAAGUGCUAGAUGAAGAGGCUUGAAACUGUAACAUUGACUAACACAAGAUCCUACUACGCUCUGAAAACAUUUUCUUUGUGAUUUGACAAUUAGGAGACUGAGAGACUGUGACAAUACAAGAAAAGGCAGUU